CAUCUAGUCUGCCCAAUUUUCUAAAUACUUUCAUUAGUCCCUAGCCUUAUCUUAUAGUUAGGAUAGCCUUAUGCCUAUCCCACGCAUGCUUAAACUCCUUUACUGUGUUAUAGGUAAAUACCUUUUAGGAUAAGACAAUACAGUGUCAUGCAGAGUUGCAGAGGUUGAAACAGGUAGGUAUAUUCCAAAAUAAUAUAAUGCAGGUUUCUUA